UGAGAUUAUAGUUAAUUAUAACACUUAAUUUGCAAUUAAAAAUUACCUUGAGGUAUCUCAA
rnacentral:tRNA from 1 species